UGACAUGCGUGACAUAUGUACUGUAUAUAUGGUGAGCAUUUAAGUACCGUACAUACUGUACAUAAUUUUUUUUUUUUUUAAUAUAUUACCCUGUAUGUAUGAGUGGCAAAAUAUCUUAGAUAUACUUUCUCGUGCUCACGAGAUACGCCUCCCCCAACGGCGUUAGGACCCAGAUUUUUUUUUUCGCGGAAGGAGAGAGGCCUCCUCCAGAUCUCCAUCACCAUCAUCAGUGCUACCUCUGUGUACAUCCACCGCUACGAUGCUGAAGCUCAUCCCACCACAAGCUCUACUCGUGUGUUUAAAUGCGAUAGUCAGCGCAGAAACAGAGGACUACACACUGACCGACAGAGCGUAUGUGAUCUUACAGAAGCAGAAUUUAGUGACGCUGGGCUGCGUCCUAUCUGUGCUGCUGCUGCUCAUGAUCAUCAUGGCUGUUUGUGUCUACAAGCCGCUGAACCGUCGGUGAAAAGAAACAGAAACACAAAAGGAGACGUGCAUUGACGCUGCGACAGAAGCUGCCGACCCUGCCACCUACCUGCCAAUAACAAUAUCAACAGCAGAGGGAUUUAAGGACUACAUAUCGGUCAAGAUGACUUGUGGGGUCCACACAGUGGUAGAGGGGUUAAUGCUCUUGCCCGACAACAACAAAAUAAUUUGUUCAAAUCUUUGUGAUAACCGAUAGUCUUUAUGUAUACAUUAUAUACGGUCAGACUUCCUUCACUCGUGGCGUAAGAUGCAAUAUUUAGGGUGACAGUACUCUCAAAUAACUUUGAAUGUGAAUUGUGUUCUUACCAUGGACCUCACCCUCGCCUGAUAGGAUCAGCUCCUGCUCUUCCUGCUAUCUUGAAAAACAUGAAGUAGAAGAAAAUUAAUUAAUCACUUCCUGUAUUGGCAUUGGUAAAAUUAAAUAACCACAGGUAUUUUGAUGGAAUUAUGAUUCAUUUUUACUUGCAGGUAAAUAUUACUUCCUUUUAUAAAAAUAUCUCUUAAAAUGGUUUUGGUUAAUUGAGGCCCUCAUAUUGCAUAUGUAAUAUAUAAUAAACUAGGUAAAUACUAAAAGUUUCUCCCUUUUUCAACAACAAAUAACAAAACACUGCAUUGGGUUAUUUCUACCAGUAUCCCACAUAUAGUAACAUUUUAAGAACUGAAGGUGAAAUGUGGCCAGUUGUAGCUGUUUUAGGUCAAUUUACUCAGAAAGGUUUGUCUCUCACAGGUUUUUCACAAUUUAUUGACACAAAGAAUUCCACUAUUACUAUUGGAAAUGCUGCAAAUAAAGGUAUUCUGUUUGCCGUUUUUAAAAGACAGUAUUAGUGCAAAGACCUGUUGGUGUUAAAUAAA